rnacentral:rRNA from 1 species
CCUACGGGUGGCUGCAGUGGGGAAUUUUGGACAAUGGGGGCAACCCUGAUCCAGCCAUGCCGCGUGCGGGAAGAAGGCCUUCGGGUUGUAAACCGCUUUUAGCCGGGAAGAAAAGGCGAGGGAUAACACCCUUCGUUCUUGACGGUACCGGCGGAAUAAGCACCGGCUAACUACGUGCCAGCAGCCGCGGUAAUACGUCGGGUGCUAACGUUAAUCGGAAUUACUGGGCGCGAUUCGUUAGCACUGAUGUGAAAGCCCCGGGCUCAACCUGGGAAUGGCAUUGGAUACUGGCGGGCUUGAGUGUGGCAGAGGGGGGUGGAAUUCCGCGUGUAGCAGUGAAAUGCGUAGAGAUGCGGAGGAACACCGAUGGCGAAGGCAGCCCCCUGGGCUGACACUGACGCUCAGGCACGAAAGCGUGGGGAGCAAACAGGAUUAGAUACCCUGGUAGUC